GAGGGGUAACAGGGGAGCUUGCUCCCGCUGACGACCGGCGAAUGGGUGAGUAACGCGUAUCCAACCUGGCUCUGGCCCGGGGAUAGCCCUUAGAAAUGAGGAUUAAAACCCGAUACGUCUCGCUUCCGCAUGGCGGCGCGAUGAAACGAGGCAAGAGAUGGGGAUGCGUAGGAUUAGGUUGUUGGCGGGGUAGAGGCCCACCAAGCCGUCGAUCCUUAGGGGUUCUGAGAGGAAGGUCCCCCACACUGGAACUGAGACACGGUCCAGACUCCUACGGGAGGCAGCAGUGAGGAAUAUUGGUCAAUGGGCGAGAGCCUGAACUAGCCAAGUAGCGUGCAGGAUGACGGCCCUACGGGUUGUAAACUGCUUUUGUGCGGGAAUAAAAAAGCCCACGCGUGGGUUCUUGCAUGUACCGCAACGAAUAAGGACCGGCUAAUUCCGUGCCAGCAGCCGCGGUAAUACGGAAGGUCCGAGCGUUAUCCGGAUUUAUUGGGUUUAAAGGGAGCGCAGGCGGAGAUGCAAGCCAGCCGUAAAAUCGUCGGGCUCAACCCGAUCUCGCGGUUGGAACUGCAUCCCUUGAGUGCGGGAGAGGAAGGCGGAACUCGUGGUGUAGCGGUGAAAUGCAUAGAUAUCACGAAGAACUCCGAUCGCGAAGGCAGCUUUCCGGCCCGUAACUGACGCUGAGGCUCGAAGGCGCGGGUAUCAAACAGGAUUAGAUACCCUGGUAGUCCGCGCAGUAAACGAUGGAUGCUCGCGUUUUGGGGAUUAUCCUUGAGACGCCAAGCGAAAGCGUUAAGCAUCCCACCUGGGGAGUACGCCGGCAACGGUGAAACUCAAAGGAAUUGACGGGGGCCCGCACAAGCGGAGGAACAUGUGGUUUAAUUCGAUGAUACGCGAGGAACCUUACCCGGGCUUGAAAUGCGACUGACGGGACUGAGAGACCAGUCCUUCCUUCGGGCAGUCGUGUAGGUGCUGCAUGGUUGUCGUCAGCUCGUGCCGUGAGGUGUCGGCUUAAGUGCCAUAACGAGCGCAACCCUUACCGCCGGUUACCAUCGGGUAAUGCCGGGGACUCCGGCGGCACUGCCAUCGCAAGAUGUGAGGAAGGCGGGGAUGACGUCAAAUCAGCACGGCCCUUACGUCCGGGGCCACACACGUGUUACAAUGGGGGGCACAGCGAGCUGGAUGAUGGCGACAUCAUUCGAAUCAUGAAAUCCCCUCCCAGUUCGGACUGGAGUCUGCAACCCGACUCCACGAAGCUGGAUUCGCUAGUAAUCGCGCAUCAGCCAUGGCGCGGUGAAUACGUUCCCGGGC
rnacentral:rRNA from 1 species